rnacentral:lncRNA from 1 species
UUAAGAUAAAUUAAUCGUGGCUGGUAGAGGGAGAGGCGCACGGCGGUGUUGGGGCACAUGAUGACGAGAGAGAGAGACGGAUGGCAGGCAGAGAUGGAGAGGGAGCCUUAGAAGUUCGAAGAUGUGGGAGAUAAAGUUUCAGAUAUGUGUUGUGGGUUUUUUAAAAGGCUAUCUCCCGACAUCGUAUGAAAAACAUCAUGA